UCAUAUACAGUUUUUUGACGGAGUCCUUAUGUCCGCAGUUCCUCAGCCAAACUUUGAUCCGCUUGCUAGCAAUCGCC
rnacentral:tRNA from 1 species